AUACGGAGGGUGCAAGCGUUAUUCGGAAUCACUGGGCGUAAAGGACGCGUAGGCGGGUUUGUAAGUCAGGUGUGAAAUCCUACAGCUUAACUGUAGAACUGCACUUGAAACUACAGACCUAGAGUAUGGGAGGGGCAGAUGGAAUUAGUGGUGUAGGGGUAAAAUCCGUAGAUAUCACUAGGAAUACCGAAAGCGAAGGCGAUCUGCUGGAACAUAACUGACGCUAAGGCGUGAAAGCGUGGGGAGCAAACAGGAUUAGAAACCCCAGUAGUCCC
rnacentral:rRNA from 1 species